rnacentral:pre_miRNA from 9 species
UCUCGAUAGCGUAAAAGUUAACAUAAAUUUGUAUGGAAUUGGAACGUUUGCCUAUGUUUGCCGCUAGGGGCGCUGUUCCGACUGCAUACAAAGAAUUAACUUUUACGCUAUCAA